rnacentral:lncRNA from 1 species
AUGAAAUAAACUUAAUGUCGAAGUUGCAAUUUAAUUUUAAUUUUAAGAAUUUUAUCCGGAUUAAGACUUUAGGCUAAAGAAUUAAACCAACUUCUUAAACGUGAAUUUAGGAUCGAUAAUAACUAUGAAAGGAUAUAAGUAAAUCCUCAAGUUAUUCUUCGAGCUUAAAUUUGCCUAAAAUAUAGGAGUCAAUUUUUUAAAAAAUAUUAAACAA